rnacentral:piRNA from 1 species
UAUUUUGAAUGGAGGGCUUCUUUUACGGA